UACGGAGGAUCCAAGCGUUAUUCGGAGUGACUGGGCGUAAAGAGUUGCGUAGAGGGUUUGUUAAGCAAAUAGUGAAAUCUUGUGGCUCAACCAUAAGGCUAUUAUUUGAACUGGCAGACUUGAGAAUAUGAGAGGUAGAUGGAAUUCCCAGUGUAGGAGUGAAAUCCGUAGAUAUUGGGAGGAACACCAAUGGCGUAGGCAGUCUACUGGCAUAUUUCUGACCCCGAGGCACGAAAGCGUGGGGAGCGAACCGG
rnacentral:rRNA from 1 species